rnacentral:rRNA from 1 species
GACAGAGGUGCCGAGCGUUAGGCGGAAUCACUGGGCUUAAAGCGCGUGUAGGCGGACCGUUAAGUGCUCCGUGAAAUCCCCCGGCUCAACCGGGGAACGGCGGGGCAUACUGGCGGUCUUGGGCCACCUAGGGGUCAUCGGAACAGGCGGUGGAGCGGUGAAAUGCGUAGAUAUCGCCUGGAACGCCGACGGUGAAAACAGAUGACUGGGGGUGUGCCGACGCUGAGACACGAAAGCCAGGGGAGCAAACGGG